UUGGGUAUUCUAAACGCAAACAGAAAAAUCCGCAAGCGCACGGAUACCGAUGUAGCUUUCACCCGGGAGUAUUCCAGAGUAUCGAUUUUCCACAGAGAACGUGAGUGAACUAAUUAAGAUCCAAGAUCGCCCAAGGAUAACUAUAUGAUUAUUUUUGGUGGGAAAAGAGAAAGUUUCCCGAGAGUUCUCUAGUUGAUCUAAGAAUCAAGAAUUACUUCAAGAUUAUCUAUAUCGGGACAUCAGAACACUAACCACAGAAAGAGAUGAGAAGGGGCUAGGAAGCUCUGACUACGGUCCUACAAACACCGAUCCGAACGAGGUGGAAUACGUCGACCAUUAGGGCUGUCACUACCCUAGGGCUACCACAACAAUCCGCAGGAUUGGGUGCAAUUCCAGGUAAUUGCAAGACUAAACACAACAUCUAAUCUAUUAAUUACUACUCUAAUGUUGCAAAGAUUAGAGAACUUGGUGCAAGCGGGAAUCCAAUAAAUAACUUGAAUGUAAAUAAAAGUAAUUAAAGAACUCAGGAUUAUGAAUUGAAGAACCUGGAGAACGAUGAAGAACGAACCAGUUGCUGCAAAAGUACAAUGUUGAGGAAGAUCCGACAGAUCCAGCUCCUCCUCCGCUCUCCUCUUCUCUCUCCCUAUUUUCUAGAUUACAACUAGAACUAACUAGAACUAGAACUAGAGGAACUAGAACUAGAUCUAGAUGAACUAGAACUAGAUCUAGAUGAACUAGAGGUAGAACUAGAGGGAUCCUCUCUACUUGGAUGAAGAAUUGAAACCCUAGCUUUGAUUCUGUAGAAGAGGUAUGAUCUCCAGGGGCCAGGGGGUCUGGUUUUAUAGUCCCUUCAAGUGAAUCUAGGCCAUCGGAUCAAACCGACAUUGAUCGUGUGGUUUUCCUUGAAGUAUUAGGUCGGUGGAGCAUGAUCCCCGAACUUCACCCUGAUUGGUCCAGGGGGGAGGGCGGGCGCCCAAGGGACUACGGCGGGCGCCCUGUGCCUGAGCCCUCUCGGCCUCCGCUUCGGUCCCGUGGCUUCUGGAGUCUUCUAGAUGAUAGAAAAUUGCGCGGCACAUUAAUAUCUCUAUGUAAACUCGACGUGUGGGUCUUUCUUCCGUAUUUCCUGAUAACCCCCUGCAGAAAUAGACAAACACCAAAACUCGUGGAAUUCUGUCAGAUAAAACCCUAAGUUUAGGUGUUGGCUGCAUAUAAGUCCUUUUCCAUGAUUAGUUGAUGGUUAAAUGUGAGCAUUAAGGACCGUCAACAAGCUCCCGCAAGCUUAACCUUUGCUCGUCCCUGAGCAAAGCUAAAAUCAACACGUAAUCAGGGGUUACUUUUAUGCCUCUUACUACAGGGUUUUUAAGUUAUCACUAAGGUCUUAAGUGAUUGAAAAACAGAAUGAUCAAGUCAAGCACUAUGUCUCAAGUACUUCUGUCUUACCUUUGUUCUGGAGUUUUUUAUAAGUCUGCAAAAUAAAACUGAGGCAUUGCCUUCUUCUCGAAAGAUAUAUAAGUAGAGCUUUAAAAGUUUUAGCAUACUUACUUUGCAUUUUGCUAUGUCAAUGCUCGAAGCAAGGGAGAGGAAUGUCAUACUCCUAGAUCAAGACCUUUGACCUUUUUGAAAAGUUUGUCAUCUCUUACUGGCAUAUUGCUUAUUAGAGGGACCAUGGGCUAUAUUUUUUUUCUUUUUUUUUCUCUUUUUUUUCAGUCUCCCUUUUUUCUCAAGUGGGCAGCAAGUACCCCUAAUUCUACUGUCGGACACAUGUCCAUUUUUUCCACUCAGGUGGGUAUCUUUGUACCCCUAAUUCUACUUCGGACACUUGUCCAUUUUUACCUCUCGUCUCACUCUUUUUUUUUCGAAUCAAAUUUUUGCAUAGUCCCAUGCCUCUAACGCAAUAAUACUUCGGAAGAGUGAAUCUUUUAUGUUUUUAAAACAAAAAGAUCUUGAUCUUGUUUGCAUGAUAAUUCUCUCAACCAAAACUACAAGAAUUAACAAUGGCUUGAACAAAGCAAGUGCCCACAGUUUUAAUAUUUAUAUCUUAUAAGACUCUAGGUAUUAUGAUCUCAUAUAUUUUUUUAUGAAUUUUUAGAUUUUCAAAAGAUAAAAUCUCCAGAACUCUAGCAAAACUUGGAACAAGUUAAAUAGUAGCUCAGACCUUCUCAUAUCAUGUUUGUCAAUUACCUAGACUUGAAUCAAACUUUCUUUUUAUUUUAUUUAAAACUUAGGAUUACACAAAACUAUUGUAUAUUACUCAAAAGAAAAAAAAACUUUGUUUGGUUUCAUGGUUAUGCAUUUUUUUAUUUCCGAAUACUAGUAAAUAAAACCAAGAAAGAAAAGUAAUACUUAUCUAGAUACACGUGGGGAUACCUCCCCCAAGCUGGAUGUUGACAUAGUCGUUCACUCUUGUGGCCUGCAUGUUCGGUCUCACUCUUCUUAAGCCUCAAAAUCCUACACAACCCAAAUAGACAACAAAACUUGUGCAGCAUGUUAAGGGUUAGGUAAUUGUCUAGAGCUUAAUAUGAGAAUUCUAUGAACUCAAUCACAUCAAGUUCCUCUACCAGGUUUUUUUGUGGCUCAAGAUAGAUUUUCAAGCGUUGACCAUUUACCAUAAAAGUGUUACCUAUGUCAUCUUGGAUGGUAAUGGCUCCAUGAGUUGAAGUGUCUGUUGAUAUUUGGUAACGCAAUUAGAAAAUGAUCCGCAAGCGCACAGUUAUCGGUGAGCAUUUCACCCGGGAGGUUUUCCAGAGUAUCGUAUUUAUAUUUUUACCACUGGGAGAAAGGGUGCAUCUGACUAACCAAAUCUAUUGCUACUAUCCCUUUAGGCUACAAAGAAUGUCUCUCGAUGUGAGUGAUGUAUAGAGAAGACUGCAACCGUAGUCUCGUUCUAACCUUGGUAAGGAUGAUCUACUGUUCUAUUGGGGAGGCUCACGGAAUCUAGACAACACAAAGGAUGUUCGACCCGCACCUAUAAACCUACCCGUCCUGCUAACGAGAUGUGAUCUGCAAAGGUAACUCGGAAAUGUCACGUUCCUCGCUACUACCACGGUCCAGCUAGUCAGGGGAUAUCUAUGAGUACCCUAGCCUAAACACCACGUUUACGCUAGCAAGUGAUUACUCUAAUACUCAACCGGAAGAGGAUUAAAGUAAACUCAUAAACCAAAGAACAAUAAAACAAGAACUUACUAGCAUUAGAAGUCGAAUUACUGAAGAAUCUUAGAAGCAAGCCUCGGGUUAGGAGACUUGAUCCCGCAGGUACAACUCGGAGUAGACACCGACAGGCCGGCCUUCCUCCGAUCUACACCUCCACUCUAUCUCUCUCAAUCUAGUAGAAACUAGAAGAUCUAUUUCUACUUUACAUUGGUUGCUAAGCCUAAAAAGAAAUAUUAUUUAGAGAAGAGGUUUUCCUUCGAGGGCACCCCUCAAUCUCUAUGAUAAUUUCUUGUCUCCUCCAGGGGCCAGAGGGGGUCUCCUUAUAUAGUCCUCCCCUUCUAUGCGUUUUUGGGUCGAUAGGCGAGGUGGUACUAUGUUAUUCUGGAUCCAAUAGGUCGGUGGAACGUCGUGUGCGAAGAGAGUCCGGAACGGAGUCCAGAGGGGGGCGGGCGCCCAGGUCCUCAGGGCGGGCGCCCUGGGCCUGGCCCCUUUCGGGCUCCGCUUCCUUCACGUGGCUUCUGGAGUCUUCUAGAUGGUAGAAAAUUGCGCGGUGGGUUGAUAUCUCUAUGUAAUCCCGACAUGUGGGCCUUUCUUCCUUAUUUCCUGAUAACUCCCUGCAGAAAUAGACAAACACCAAAACUCGUGGAAUUCUGUCAGAUAAAACCCUAAGUCUAGAUGUUGAUUUCAUUUGGAUCCUUUUCUUUGUUUAUUUGAUAAUUAAAUUUGAUACUUAAGGACCAUCAACAAACUCCCCCAAGCUUACCUCUUGCUCGUCCCUGAGCAAGGAUAGACUCAGCUAUGGAUCAUAAAUUGUUGCAAUAUUUUUAAAAAUUAAUGUACACAUGCUUUUUAAAUAAGAUCUCAUCUCUGAGUUAGAGUAAACUGUCAAGACUUAAAACUUACUUACUUUACCUACACCAUAGGACUUGUAACCGUCACUUUUGUCUUGAGUGGUUAAAAGAUAGAACAGUCUAGCCAAGUGCCAUGUCUCUUAUUCUUGAUCAGCUAUAGCUCUGGGGUUUUUGCAGAUUUUCAAAUAAAACUCAGAAAUUCCUUGUAUGAUUCUCUCAGGUCUCUCUUUUGUGGUAUUUUUGGAUCCUUACCAAGGCACUGAUGGUAUAUGCCUUCUCUCAAGAUAUGUAGUAUUUGUGGUCUGAAGCAUAGUGACAUUGUCUUCUCUCUCACCCUACUCUAAUAAGGCUUUAAUAUUUGGAGCUCAUAGGUGGGAGAUAAAGUAUAAAUACUUACAAAACAUUUAUUGCAUAGUCAAACCAUGGACCCAAAGAAACAAAUCAAUAAGCCAAAUCAAGAUGUGCAUGUGUGGCGAAUGAAUGGUGUAUGGUGAUGAUGGUGAUAACAAUGGUGGUGGAAGUCUAAUUCUACUUUGCUCUUUGAGGGGAUACAUACCUUCCUUGCUUUUGAAACUUUAUGAGGAGAAUGAGAUGCUCUUCUUUUUCUUUUCUUUCGAGGUUCUGAGCACUUGCUCCUUUUUAUUUCCUCGUAUAUUAUUAUUUUUUUUAUCUUUUUUUUUCUUCUUUUUUUUCUCUUUUUUUUACUAGAGCACUCAUCUCCUGAAAUAAUGUAGCAAGUGGUAGUAACCAAAAUAACUGGAGCAUUUAUUUCACAGGGAAUAACAGGGAUAGGAAAAUGUUUUUGGCUAUUCUCUCCCGGAUUAGGAGUAGAAUAAUUUUGGGUAAAACUGGAGAUAGAAAUGAGUGGAUAUAUGUGGAUGGUACUUCCGGAGUAGAAGUAGCAUGUAUGAGUAAUCGUGCAAGUGAAUCUUGAUUUAACCACAUGACAAGCUCCUAAGGGUCUACACAGCUUGAUCACACUCAAUGCUCAUAAGCAGUAAAUAGUAAAUGUGUGGCUCAAGGUCUAGCAAGCAUGUAUAUAUGGCUGUGGUAGGAAUUUAAACUCUUAUCAUACAGGAACUCAUCAUGCAACAUUUUAAAGAUUUUCAAAGAUAAAAUUCUCCAGAAUUCUAGCAUCUCUAGAAACAGAAAAACAGCAGCUCAACCUUCCCAUAUCGUAUCCGUUAACAACUUAGACUUCAGAUCAAGUUUUCAUCCCACAAGUUUAGGUCUAGAGCAAGCCUUAAAUUAUAACAGUUAUAGCUAAACUUGAGAGAGAACUUCAAAUUUGCAAAUUAGGCAGAGCAACUAUUCAUCAUAUCCAUGCUUAAGUUUUAUUAGAUAUAGAUUAGCAUAGCCACUUUAUUUAUUUAUUAAACACACUAAGCAAAAUAUAUAUAAGCAUAAAAUCUUUAUUUGGUUUUUCAUAGUUAUGUGUAUUUAUAUUCUAAUAUAGUAUAAGUAUAAAGAUAGAUAGAAAUACUUAUCGAGAUAAAUGGGAGUGCUCUCCCCCAAGCUGAAUUUUCACGUAAUUUCUCUUGGUGUAGCUAGCAGGUGGCAGAGGUGUGUUUGAAAGUCAGCAGUAUUUUGACAGCGAUUAGAAUGUCCUCCGUCUGCUAGUCUUCUUGAUUCUUAAAUUCUGUGGAGCUCAAAUAGACAACAAAGCUUGUGGAACUGAUUAAGUGUUAGCAUAAAUAUCUAGCCUUUAUCAUGUUGAGACUCCUUAAUAAAUAUUACUCCCUGUUUUUAUAUUUUUGUUUUUAUAAAGCAGAAAAAUAUUUAUUUUUUUUUAUGCCACCACAGUGAAUGUACUUAUGGGUUUUAUGCCACUCGUCUACUCACAUGGGGCUUACAGUUUUUUUCACAUUUUUAUUUUCUUUCUAGGAUAAUACGAACAUGAUUAACUAAGUAAACUAUUUGAAAUAAUUAAAAGGGAAAGGAUAACUACCAAGUUUACCUCUUGGCAAGGCGUUCGGUGUUUUUAAGUCCUCCGAACGGGACUCUCCAUUUUCUCAGUCGUCCUGGGAUUCGCUGGAUGACGUAGUCGAUGAUUCCGGUGGCGCCUCCUUUUCGUGUAUAACUAUCUUCUCUUUCUGACUCGGUGCUACGGUCUCCUCAGGACAUUCCUAUUCAACCUGUAUGUCUUCAGACCUUAUCAUUUCUCCUUCGAAGUCUACCCAUCCGUCCUUGAUGAUUUGCCUCCUCUGGUUGCGGUUGCGUUGUCUUCUUCUUGUCCUGACCUGCUUAGAAUCUUCAACUAUAUAAUCAUUAAAGUAGUGGCGUACCUUUCUCAGAGGGGAAGUGCAUGUGGACUUCUCCGGUUCCAAUAUAGAUAAUGGCUUUGAUAGUGUUUAGGAACGGUCUUCCAAGGAUGGUGGAUGGAUCAUACUUGUCUUCUCCCUUGUCAAUGACCUGAAAGUUGUUUGAAGCUGAAUGUAUCUUGGUUGUAGGGGCAUGGUUCUAUGCAGGAGCUGAUAAGUGACUGCGGCCAUGAUGUUGUCGUCAGAUCCGGUGUCGUAGAGUGUCUUCUAAAAAGAGUAUCCAUUGUUUGUGCAUUCGAUUCUUGGAACACCAGGGUCAUCCUUCUUGAUCAAGAAAGGUGACUUGAGUCGACGAUCUUGACCUCCUUGAGCUGCAGUGAACAUCUUAGCUGACUCGGUCCACAUUUGCUUGUUCCUGUUCCUCCUGUUGGUCCUCUUCCUUGGUUUAUGUCGGGAUUGCUCUGAAGCUUGUGUAGUCUUGUUCUUGAAGGAAAGUCUCCUUCUUCCCCUUGAUGUAGAGACUGAUCUUGGCAGCAUUAGCGUAGAUGACAGCUCUAGUGUUUAGGAAUGACCUUCCUAAGAUAAUGGGUGCCCUCUCCUUAGUACCAGUCUCUAUCACCACGAAGUUUGCUGGAGCAUACAUGGUAGCAACUCGGACACAGAGGUUCUUCAAUAUUUCCUUUGGGAAACUAAGUGUCUGAUCUCCAUUAUGUUUGUGCUCGUAGAUCCCGGUUCUUUACUUGAUGGAAUCUGGUAGUUGUAAAACGCCUUCAUGUUUCUCAAAAUGUGUCCUGCUCAUAGAGACAAGGCAGAGAUCAAGUGCAUGGGCUCUGUUGGUGGAAAACACCAACAGAACCAAAAGUGUAUUUGUUCUUCUCUAACCUUAAGCAUAGUGAGUAAGACAAAGUUGAUGGAUCAUGAGUGUAGCAUUUAAAACAUGUGUUAGAUCAGAUGGCUCAACCUAAUGGAAAGAUAAUCUAUCUAUUUUUAUGUUUUGUUUAUAUCUUCCAAAGAUUGAAUGUGUAAUACUUUAGCUUAUAUGAUUAGGAGUGUGGGAUCACGAAGGUAGUACUAAGAACAAAGAUUAAAGGACUAAACAUGUUGAAUUAAUUGGGUUGAUUAAUUUGGAGCUACAAAUCAUACAUGUUUGUCUCUUUAUUUUAUGUGAACGCUAGAACCAAGGAGAAGCUUAU
rnacentral:lncRNA from 1 species